rnacentral:lncRNA from 1 species
CUUCAGUUCCCAGGAGACCCUGCUUGACAGGCGUGGGAGGAAGCCAUCUGCUGUGGAGGCAGGGGUCGGACGCAUGACUUCCGGAGGUGUUGGGCAACCUCAGCUGGGGAGACCUUAGCCACCCUCAGGAAACAAAUGUUCAGUCCAAGCAAAGGCCCGGCCCAGAGUGGUCACUGGCUUAAUUCUUGUCCUUGCCCUGUAGUUCUGCUACUGCUGGCCUAUGAAGAUGAAGGUCAAUGAAGAAGCGUCAGGCCCCCACCUGCAGGCCAGGGCUAGUGCAGCAGUGCCGGGGCCGAGAAAAAGCCAGAACUUUGUUCUGUGCAUCUGCACCCGAACAUAAGUGCAUACGGCGAUGUAGAAUUGGUUUUAUUUUUAACAAAUGGGGCUCUACUGUAUAUGCAUGCACGUUUUACUUUUUAACCUUAACAGUAGACGUGUGGCAUCUUUCCUUUCUGCAUGUGUUGAUCCAUCUUAGUCUUUGGAACAGUCGCAAUGGAUCCCAUAGUAUGGGAUAGUUUAUUAAACCAGUCCCCUGCUGAUGGCCAUUUAGGUCGUGUACAAUUUGCCCCUCUUAUAUGCACUACAAUUUUACAUAUAUCAUUGUGCAUGUGUGAGUACUUCUGUAGGAUAACCCAGAAGAGGAAUGCUGGAUUAAAUAGUUAUAUUUUAUCUCAGUAUAACCCUGUCCCCCUAACUAGACUGUAAGCUCUGGGCGGAGAGUCAGCGUCCUGCAGCCCUGGGAGGGGAGAGGGCAGACAAGGAAGAGAUCAAGGAGGUGAAAGCUUCUUGUGGAAACCUUCUGACUUGCAGGUGGGAGGAUGUUUAUCUUCCACCAGGUUCUCCUGGGGAAAAACAUCUCCAACACCAGUUCUGGCCUUCUGAGGACACAGGGCACUGAAUCAAGACCCAUCUUUCUGGACCUCUGGAUCAGGCCCACAUUUGGCACAGUGCAGGGGAAUCCUGGCUUGGCUGAGCCAAAGCAGGAGCCGGCCUCCCUCCUCACGUGGAGCUGGGACAGGAUCACAAGCAGGAUGUUUGGGUGGCACCUCCACCCUUCCCUCUGUGUGGCCCCUGGGACCUGCAUUGCCUCCAGCCUGGGGCCCUCUCCCUCCCCUGUUUGCCUGCUAGAGCCCAGGGUCUCAGCUCCCUUCACCAGGGCUGCACACCUCCAGAAAGCACACCUGGGCGUGGUAGGGCCCGCAGUCCAGAGAACUUUCGAAGUGCAAAGCCCACCGGCGGCACCUGGAAAGGGGCGGGUGGAGUGCAGGCCAGAAGCUGGGGAUUUUUCCUUAAUAACAACCUGGCGCCCUAAUUCAUUGGCGGCUCUGCCUGCCUGCAAGCUGGCUUGCACCCCCUCUCCCCUCCUGGAGAAGCCUUCAUCUUCAAAGCUUUUUGGGAAACAGUUAAUUAACCCCCACAGCCCUACCACCUGCCCAGAAGGCUGCUGGUUCCCUCUUCUCCAUGGGGCGGGGAAAGGGGAGGGCCAGGGAAACUGAAGCCUGAAGAAAGAGUGUGUGGCUGGGACCUGAGAGAUCGCAGGAUCCCAGACAAGGAAGCUGCCUUCCCUUUCAAUCCCCCCCAGCCCCACCCCUCAAAGGGCUGGUGGGACCCCCAGAGGCCAAGCCACACAGCCAAAGUGCUAAGGGUUGAGGAGCUUAUCUUGCAACACAGUUUAUUUUGGAGCCAAUAAAUUUUCUUGGGGCUCACACAUUUUCACAGGCCCCCGAAAAGCCUGGAGGCCCUGGGUACUGCACCGACAGUGCACGUGGAGGAAAUGGCCC